rnacentral:tRNA from 1 species
GCCAGCAUCGCAUAACCUGGUAUUGCGCUGGUCUUGAAAACCAGUUUCCGAAAGGAUAUCCCGGUUCAAAUCCGGGUGCUGGCG